rnacentral:lncRNA from 1 species
AGUUGAGGUAGUCACUUCGUGACAAUAUUUCAUAGUUGUGUUGUAAAGUCAGACAUAUCAAACAAAUUGAAUAUUUUUUUUUUUCGAGAUGUUUGAUACAUAUUCAAAUAUUUUUCUAUAUUAGUAGCAUUUGAAUUUACCAUAACUUCGACCCAGUGGAGAGAUUACAAUAUUAUCUGCAAAUGCAGAAAUCUCUAAUUUCGAAUACGUCUGCUGAUCAGCAAAAAUAUAUCUUUUAUCUUGCUCAAGUUUCAUCGGAAAAGUAGAUCUUUUAACAAUUAUAUCAUUUUUUUUCAAGCAUUUACUUUGAGAGAAUAAUUAAGUGCAUAUAUAAAUACAAUACAAUUUUAUCAGUUUAUUAUAUUAUGGAUCACAUCAAAUCUUAAAAGAGAACAUAUAUGAUUUAUAGUAAAAACAAACAAAAGUCUGGAACAUGUCUAGUAGAAUUUGUAAGAUGGAUUAUCAUUGAGGGAAUUAAUCGACUUAUCAAAUACCGGUUUUACUAUAAACCAAGUACGUAACUGGAUAUUGAUUAUUCUAUAUAGACAAGAGAACAGCUUUCGUCUACCUUGGACCAGUUAUUUGAUCAAUUUUAACAAUAAAUCAAUACUAUAUUAUUCGACAGUUUUAAUCUACAAUAUGUCUACUACUGAAAUUCCAAUACUUGUCAAUUUUGAAUGACCUUAAAUAAACCUUGCAAGUAUCAAUGUUGAUUAACGAAAAAUAACUAACCUGAUUCACGAUAUAUUUCCAUGUUAAAUUUAAUCAUGACAUUUUGAAGUGUCACACCAACAGCACCAUGAAUACCAUGUGAUAAAAUUUGUACUAAAACACCAACAAUAACAAUGAUCCAUCCCCAACCACCUUCUGGAUAAUAAUGUUGUUUUAAAAAUCUACCAAGUUUAUGAUGUGACUAUUUUUCAUAUGUCUAGACGAAGGUAUUGAUAAAAACUGACAGAUAAAUAAAUAUCAUGUUUGACGAUAAACGAUGGGUCGGAAACUGAAAAUAUUUAACUCUACUGCAUUUUCAACAACAUCACCAUAUACAAAGAUUUAAGAAUGAUUUUACUUCACUCUUCAGGGCUAUUGAACUAUGUACGUGACGAGGAUGUACUACAUUAUAAAACCCAACACCAGUGAAUCCAUUAGGACCAAAAAUAAAAAAAUAAAAAUAAAUAAAUCUAUAUUUUUACAAAAUAAAAAAUAACAUGACAUAUUUAUGAAAUUUUUUAAAUAAUUUACAAACUUCAUGACAAUCAUUAAAUACUUUUUAAAUGUAGUGUCUGAGAUGUUGUUGACUGCCACUGGUUCUCCCUUCAUCAUUCGUUGCGCUGAUUCCUCCCGGGAGUUGUAUGUUAUCCUGUUUGUGUACACGUACAUAUAGGUAUAUAUCAUCAAUUUUAUAUAUCUAUAUAUAUAUGUACAUACAGCAUAUAAUGUUUAAAGAUGACGCGCCGACGCAACAACACUCCAUGUCUAGUGUUGCUGAAUAACUCGGCACGUUGUGUGCUUUGAACUAUCAUAUUUCCCGCUCACUCUAGUUUUACUCUUGAUAUAUAUAUAUAUAUUGUGAAAAUGCUGGAAAAUCAGACAGUCUAAUGCUUACAGCAUUCCAAUGAUGAUUUACUUCUAUUUCGUUGUCAGCAUUAAAUUGUUAAUUCAUGUGCGACAUUUGAUAUCAUUUUUAACUUAAUUAUAAUUUAUAUUUUACAAUUUUAGAUUGAUUCUAUAAAAUAUAUGACAAUUUAAAUUUAAUAUAAUAUUCAAUUUUUUAUAGUGGAAAAUUAUAUUUAUUAAAUUUAAUUGUAUAUUUAUUUUUAACGUCUUUCACGAGAUGCCAAUUACAGGACAAUUUAGAAGCUGUUUUUUCGAAAUUAACAACAGUAAUUGUG